UACGUAGGAUGCAAGCGUUGUCCGGAAUUAUUGGGCGUAAAGAGCGCGCAGGCGGUAUGACAAGUCAGAUGUGAAAGAGGCCGGCUUAACCGGCAAGGGUCAUUUGAAACUGUCAGACUAGAGUGCAGCAGAGGAUAGUGGAAUUCCCGGUGUAGUGGUGAAAUGCGUAGAUAUCGGGAGGAACACCAGUGGCGAAGGCGGCCAUCUGGACCAGCACUGACACUGAGGCACGAAAGCGUGGGGAGCAAACAGG
rnacentral:rRNA from 1 species